rnacentral:rRNA from 1 species
UACGAAGGGGGCUAGCGUUGUUCGGAAUUACUGGGCGUAAAGCGCACGUAGGCGGACAUUUAAGUCAGGGGUGAAAUCCCAGAGCUCAACUCUGGAACUGCCUUUGAUACUGGGUGUCUUGAGUAUGGAAGAGGUGAGUGGAAUUCCGAGUGUAGAGGUGAAAUUCGUAGAUAUUCGGAGGAACACCAGUGGCGAAGGCGGCUCACUGGUCCAUUACUGACGCUGAGGUGCGAAAGUGUGGGGAGCGAACAGG